CCCCUUUCAUCGCAGGCCGGCCCCGCCUAUAUUCAUGGGGCCGGCGCAAGCCGGCUAUGGCGAUAAAUGGUUGUCGUAAUAAGCCUUUCGGACCCGGGGGCAGUACCCGGCGCCUCCACCAGAGCCCGUGAAGCGCACGCGCGCGGGCUCCGGCGGGGGCGAACCAGGAUCGACGAGGGUGUAAAGGGCUUUCUUUCGCUCGGCAUGGUUCCGCCGAUAUCGGGCCGACCUAUAGUUGCGAAUGACAACUAUGCUCCGGUUGCCGUUGCCGCGUGAGCGGUAAAGGUACCGAAAUAAAAGUCCUACCGGGUAGCACUGGCUAGGCGGGGUUCGGAGGCACCUGGCAACAGAAGCCUCCACU
rnacentral:tmRNA from 1 species